rnacentral:rRNA from 1 species
AUUGAACGCUGGCGGCAGGCCUAACACAUGCAAGUCGAGCGAGCGGCGGACGGGUGAGUAAUGUCUGGGAAACUGCCUGAUGGAGGGGGAUAACUACUGGAAACGGUAGCUAAUACCGCAUACCAUCGGAUGUGCCCAGAUGGGAUUAGCUAGUAGGUGGGGUAACGGCUCACCUAGGCGACGAUCCCUAGCUGGUCUGAGAGGAUGACCAGCCACACUGGGACUGAGACACGGUCCAGACUCCUACGGGAGGCAGCAGUGGGGAAUAUUGGACAAUGGGGGCAAGCCUGAUCCAGCCAUUCCGCGUGUGUGAAGAAGGCCUUCGGGUUGUAAAGCACUUUCGGCGGGGAGGCGUUACCUGCAGAAGAAGCACCGGCUAACUCCGUGCCAGCAGCCGCGGUAAUUC